UUUCACCCUAUGUAGCUAAGAAGACCCCAAAGCAAAGAAAGAGUGUGAAAGCUUUUGGGAAUAAUUGAAAAAAAGUUGAAAGAGCUGGUGCAUGAAAUCCAGUAAAAGCAGCUCUCCGGUCCAGUGAAGCUCGGGACAAUUGGCAGCACCAGGAAGGUUAUCACUGUCUGCAUCAGAUGACUCUCCUGUGUGAGGUCAAAACCCCAUUGGAUUUGUAAUGAGGAGGUGGAUGAGGCUGUAAAGUCAUUCCCAAGAUGGAGCAGUGAGGGCCUUGAGGCAAGAAGGAGCCAAUGAAGGGAAGAAAGGAAAUGGACCGAAAGAUCAUAAUCAGUAAAUUUCUGCAUCCUA